UGAACAGAAAAAUUAGCCUAAUUUGGACCCCUGCACACACGUCCGUUCCUGGCAACGAGGCGGCCCACGAGUUAGCCCGAGCUCUCUACUUCCGGGUGGCUGUGGAACCGCCCGACUGCCGGAACAUGGACGAGCGUCUGCAAAACUAUACGGAGAUUGUCGAAAAUUAUCGGCUACGCAGGAGACUGGUGCCACCACCGGAUAAAAGUCUAAACAAUAGAGAGGCAGUCGCAUGGCGGCGCCUGCAAGCUGGGAACUUCGUAAACCCGGUCUGGGCAUACCAUGUUAUGCAUGAUAGAGAAAACGAUGAGUGCAAACACUGUGGGGCGAGAGGGACCCUCGAUCACAUAAUCUGGGAAUGCGCUAGCUCACCAGGGGCUAAAGCAAAUAUAAAUUGUAGAGAGGCCUGGGAAGCCCUGCUGCGGAGCGAGGACCCUACUCCACAGCAACACGCCAUCCGCCUGGCGGAAGAAGCCGCGAAGAGUCAAGACCUCUUUGCUUGCUUCUAAUCGCGGAGGUUCCGGCCCCCGUCCCCAAGGCCUGUGUGCCGGGGACGGGGAGUAGGGGCCUCCUUAUCCGGCGGUACAAUAAAGUUGCUAUCAUCAUCAUCAUCUCUCAUCAAACGCCAGGGGACGCAGGCGCAAAGAACGAAAAUGUUGUAAUGAAUUCUGCUCAAUCGCUUUACAAAAUAAUAAUUAUACACCCAAAUUUGGCGUGUUUCUGAUACAUAAAAACAGAAUUUAUCGAAGACACCUUCCGUGCUUUUUGUUCUUCAUUCGUACUGCCAUCAACACCAAUCACCAUUCGUCCAUCGAGAAGAAAUCAACGACACCAGUGGCGUGCCAGCGGGAACGUCUCGUGAACGUCGGCUGCGGCGGUGUUCUUGUGUGUGAGAAAGACCGUGCUGAUGCCAUGCCGUCUGGCGGUCCAAGCUACGGCAGCUACUGCUGUGUGUCGUCGUGCUUUGACAACGGCAGAACCCAGAAGAAGCCUAUCUUGCCUCGGAAUAAAAACAUUGCGGAAACUCUG